ACCUUUUUUCGCAUUCCCUCUCAAAAUCCUUUGUUCAAAUACGACGGCGAAAACCGUACCGGCGCUCCCGUCGAAGACCACUGCUCCGUCAGCUGGAUCAAUGUGAACAGUAUUUUCAUUGUUUCGGAGGUAUGUGGCGUCUCAGAAGGUUAUUGUAUCAGUUUCAUAAGCACAGCUCAACAUUGAGUGAGAAAGGCAAAUAUUGUGGCAGGACUCAGGAGACAGCUCCAGCCUUGGAUCCGUUUCUCGUUACACACGAGAAAUAUGUAAGAAGAGAGAUCCAUGUUGAUACUUGAGAAUAGAAAGAGAUAUAUAGGUACUAUAAUGCAAUGAAGGCCGAAGCACGUGAAGCAAAUAUGGUGGGGCUGCUGUCUGUGAACCGUUUUCGUUAGUCUUUAUGUGUGGGAUCCAUCGAUACGUACCGUAGUUUGACUCUAAUAAUAAGAUCAUUUCCCUUUUUUGCUAGCUGGUUUGCAAAUACAACGUGGUAGGGACCCUUAAUUUGGAGCACACGAAAGUUUGUGUGGAAUCCUCCAUUUCCAGUUUAAGAGGUAUUUCUCCAACAACCCUUUGAUUGGUAGAUGAGGCUAUUUAUUGUCGAUCACUGUACAGAUUGCUUUGAGUUCAAGAGAGAUGGAUUAAUAUCAAUUUAUAUCUCAAUCUUUUGUCACUUUUAAAAACUUGCGGAUUUUGUCGUGACCUUUUUAAUACAGUAUGUAUUAAUUCCGUCAUGGAAACAAAAGAAUGAAUUUUGAAUCUUCAAAUUAAUUGAGGGCUUUUGAAGUUUCUGGCUUGCAUCCUACACUUGAUGUCCAAAUAUUCAAAAGCCCUUGAUCACUUUUGAAUUUCAAAAGACUUUCUAUUGUUUUAUAGUAUGAUGGAAUUGAUACACGUUAAAAAUCUUGAGAUAUCCAAAGGUUGAGAUAUGAACUAAAAAUGAUGGAAGGGGGGCUAUAGUUGCAUACUACAUAAUCUUUUGAGGUGUGAUUGGCAAAUUAAAUUUGUGGGGCUGGGCCCUUUCUUGCAAUAAGUGGCAGCUGUGCCAAUUGGCAACAAAAUUAAUGCUGACAAAAGAAUUUAUUUUAGAGGUGGGGGCUGUAGCACUUUCAUCUUUUUAGGUUGGAUAAAUAAGAGUUAGUUCCAUCAUUUUUUCUUUGGAUUGGAGCCUGUGUCAUCUUCUACACCCCUACUGUUUUUGUUUCUACUCUUGUAGACUAAAAUGCUAAGCAAUUCCACUAAGUUGGGCGAGAUAGAAUUAUAAAUUAUAAAAUAAAUGAAACAUACGAAGAUUAUUGCAGCUUUUUAGGUUCGGGUCAGAAAUUAUUUGGAGGUUUUCUGGCCUUUCUGUUUUGAAUACAGUUUCUCUUCAGUGUAGUUUUGCAGGUUUUAUUAUGUGUAGAGUAGUAUAGGUUUGGUGGUUAUGUGAAAUCUUUUUGUCUUAAUUAAUGGGUACACUGGGCUGUACUUAGCUGAUCAGAGGGAUCAAAAGCUGAAUCUAGAUCUCCAUAAACAAAUUGUAUACUUUGGAAUGGCUUUCCAUGUUUAAGUAAAAGCUUAGGGUACUUAUAUUUUUUUUUUAUUUUGCUUCACUGUAAAAUACUCCAUACUGGAUGCAGUGUAUUGUGAUUUUGGGCUUAGUACAAAAAAAUAGUUAAUUGUUUGGAUGA